UUGAAAUCAUCCACGUUACCUUCUUCUUUACCCCAUCUAUUGCGUUUGUCUUCUUUAAAUUACCCACAGCCCUACCCCAUACACUUCACCACAGAUGAAUCUCAUCACUUUCAUCUCAAUUAUACUUCCCAAAAUUCGAUUUCUUCCAAAUAAAAGCAAACAAACUUCGCCCUUUUUCUUUACAGAGGCGCCUAAACAAGAGCAGCAUAAGCAGUAAAAAACAUUCACCUCAUCAAGGUUCUAUCUUCAUACUCAAUUUCGUACAAGACUUGUUCUAUAUUUCACAACACCAAUAUACAUAUUCAGUUCAUAUAUUACUUGCAGAUAGAACAGAAGCAGAGCUCAGCCCUCUUCAUCUUCUUCAUAAUCACAUCACGGUACCCCCAAAGUUUCCAUCUUUACUUCAUUAUUCCCACACUAUUCUUUUCGUUCUAAUGAACUUUGAUGACACACGAAACCAACAAACAAGAAAUAUACGAAUAAAAUUCUGCUGAUUUAAAAUCAUCAUAGACAAUACCAUCAAACUUGUGCCUUGACAUUUACACUUUGAACUGGACUCUUGUGAAGGAAUUGAAGAAACACAUAGAAGAACGAACCCUUAAAUUUUUUAGUAUAAAACUUCAGUCUUUACAGCUUCGAUCUUGCUGCGCUUGAUUCUUGUUGUGUGUGUUAGUAUGGCGUGAGUUCAGUCGGGGCUAGGAGGGGUUGAAGCAGGGAGAGCGGCGGCAGCGGCUGAUGGGCUGCUGCUGUUCGGACCCAAGGAGAAGGGGGCGACGGUGAAUCUCGCCGUUCGCCGUGAGAAAAAGAGGCGGCGGAGAGGUGAAGGGGGCGGCGACCGCAGCUGUUUAUGGCGAGAGAAGGGAUAGAGACAGAGAGAGUGGGGCGAGAUGUUGAGAGGGAGAGUCGGCAGAUGCAGAUGCUGGUGGGGGUGAAGGUGAUGAGCGCCGGCGAAGCGCCGCCGGUCUUGCUGGAGGUGGACGACGGCUUGGGAGAGAGAAAAGCGAUUUCUGUGAGAGAGAGAGAGAGAGACGCAUAUGAGAAUGAACAGGAGAGAGGGAAGUGGUUUGGGCUUGGUUUUAUUUCAGUUGGGCUCAUUUAAUGGGGUUUCAGCAUAUAGUCUUUUAUUAGUGUUGGGUUGAUUUAAUUGCUGGGCUUAUUCUUUUUAAGUUGGCUCUUUUCUUAAUUGAAAUUUGAGCUUUAGUUAUUAAAGAAUUAGGUUGCCAAUUAUUUAUUACUUGGGCCUUAAUUUAAGUUGGUUUAAUUUGUUUUGGUGAUUAAUUAACUUAAUGAGUGUUUAUACCAUGUAAGAAUGAUUUGAGAAAUUAGAAAAUGUUUUGAUUACAAAAAAAAAAAAAAAAAAAGAUUUUUACCCAUUAUCAGGGCCGGCCCUGACAUUCUGGGGGCCCUAGGCGAAAGGAAAAAAAAAAGCCCCCCUGAAAAAUGAAGCUUCAUAAUUUUAUAGCAAACUUGAGAUAGUUGCAUAUAUAAUUAACAUUAUUAUAAAGUGCAAUAAAUCAUAAAUUAACGAUCAAAUAAUUAUAGAAAUAAAGUAGAUUUUUAAUAUUUUGGGAACAAAAUUAUCAAUAACCUCUUCAAGAAUACCCCAUGUUUAAAGUAUAAAAUUGCUAAUACAUUUAACCUUUUUUGAGAUAUAGUAGAAUGCAAAUAUAUUGAUUUUAAUUUUAAAAAACUUCUUUCUACUAAAGUUACAAUAACCAGUAUAGUCUUUUUUUUAGGGGACAAUAACCACAUUAUAAUCAACAAUAUUCUAUAUGCAAUAAAAAUAUUAUAAAAAUAAUCUAAAUUUUUUAAUAAGAUUAAUAUUAGUGGACUUGUAUUUAUUUUGGGGCCCCCUAAAUUUAGGGGGCCCUAGGCCCUUGCCCCUUUGGCCCUAUGCAAGGGCCGGCCCUGCCCAUUAUGCAUGUUUAGAUAAUUAUUUCACGCGAUUUAUGAUUUUUAUGUGCAAAUAAUUAUGUGAAUUAUAUGCCAUGUGAUAUAUAUUUUUUUUAAAUUUGUUACAACCAAAGAAAGAUAAAAACCUACUCACACUCUAGCUCCUAGGGUGACUCGAACCCCUGACCUAUUGGUUGGAGGGGAAGCGUCUUACCAACAGAUUGCGCUUCGUCGUCAUAUGCCAUGUGAUAUAAUGAAGUAAUAAAGUUAUAAUAUGUUUUUGCAAUAAAAUAUUUAAGCAUUUAAAUUGUUUUUAAGUUAAAAGUCAAGCAAGGGUAUUGUUGGUGCCCUUACCUGAAAAUUUAUUUUCAAGUUUAUAAAGUGAGUUUUAAAAUCCGGGCAUAGCGAAUCAGAACUUAGUAGCCUCGUUUUGCUAUUAUCUAAGGCUAGUAUCACGAGACCUAUUAAGAUUAGAUUAUCUUGUAGGCUCAAUUGACUAAGAGGAUUAGCAUUGCUUUUACGAGACGAGUUACGUUUGACUUCGGACUUUGUCCAAUCAAGGUUGAUCGGUUGGUGCAGACAAGGUUGAGUUGAGGCUAGGGUUCCACGCUGUCUUUUGCUUCCGCUAAUGACUAGCUUGUUAUCUUGUCUUUCAAUUCCCUAAACUAAGAACUUCUAUUAUAUGGUGCAGUAGUAUCUUGUUGAGCUAAGACUUUUUAACUCAUAUUUCUAUUAAUGAAGUUAUUGUUGAUUAUGAUCAGAAUCGCGAAACUAAACUUAUGCAAUCCUGUGAGUUUAAAUAUUAUCAAUUGAUUGGCAUCACUCAAUGCCUUUCAUUUUAUCUCUUCAAAUUAUAAACAACCCAUUUAAAAGGGUAAAUUGUCAAGUUUAUUCAGCUCUAUUAAGUUUUUCCAUUAUUUUUCUAUUUAUUUUUGUCUUGGUAAAACCGGGGUGUGACAUAAUGGUAUCAGAGAACAAGUUUUCUUUCGUGUCUCUGACUACCGCUAGUUGAAUUAUUCCGAGUCUAGAAUAGUAGCUCUAGACUUCUAAGCAUUGUUGCAACCCUCAGCUCACCGUCUCACUGCCUGAUCAACAAAGGUACGUUAAAAUUUUUUUUUUUCAAGUAAAUUAUUUUAUUCCAAGAAAGUGCGCGCAAAAAGAUUACCUUGUGAAAUGCUUGAAGGAUUCACAUAUGCAAAGAGUUAAUGUUUAUGCCAAGAAAGAAGAGUAUGAUAUUUGGACCAGCGAGUCCUUACAAGAAGCAAAGUAUGUAAUCAUGAUAGGACUCUCCGAGCCCACAUGAUCUAUUUUCAAAGAAGAACAUUAUAUAUUAUGACGAGUCUCCCUGAGCUCACAUAAACAUGUUUGGAAGAAAAAGAUUUGUUAUUUAUGUUUUGAUUCUAUGAAUCAUUUAUGAUUAAAGAUAUGCUGUGAUUUUUAACCCCAUGCAUGUUAAGAAUAUUUCAGAUGGUAUAAAUGAUAUUAUUUGUUAACUUAGGUUAUUUAUAACCUUUUUGAAAGGCGGCGCGAGGUCGGGUGGUGGCGCCGCGCGAAAGGGGGCGCAAACCCUAGUGAGGUGUGAGGUCGGCGGCGCCAGAUUUGGGGAAGAAGAAGAUUUUUUGAGGGAGAAGAAGUCGACGGCGGCGAUGGAUGUUUGGGGAAGAAGAAGAACGGCGCGAGGUUUGUGGUGGACGGCGGCGGUGGAGGUAUGGGGAGAAGAAGAAUUUCUGGAAUGAUGCGAGGUCUGCGGUGGACGGCGGCGGUGGAGAAUUCUGGAUUGAUGCGAGCCUAAAAUUGAAGAUGACGAAGUGUUCCAGAGCUGACUAAGCCUUGCCAGAGUGCAGAGCUGCCAGAGGCAACUCUGCCGACUCUGCCCGACUCAGCUCUGCCCCGACUCUACAACUCAGCUCUGCCGACUCUGCUUUGCUCUGCCGACCCCCCACUACGUGCCACAUCAACUCGGUAUUACAACGUAGGCGAUAGGUCAGCUUGGUAUUACCACGUAAGCGACACGUCAGCUCGGAGCUUCAACGGAGCAAAAAAGCAUGGAAAAAUUGUUCAACCCCUUAAGUUCAUGGAAAAUUUGAUAAAAAUAAAAAAGUUCAUGGAAAAUUUGGAAAUGGA